AGCAGCCGCGGUAAUUCCAGCUCCAAUAGCGUAUAUUAAAGUUGUUGCAGUUAAAAAGCUCGUAGUUGAAUUUCGGGGUCGGUAGGUUGGUCAUGCCUCAGGUAUGCACUGGUCUCACUGAUUCCUCCUUCCUGAUGAGCCGUAAUGCCAUUAAUUUGGUGUUGCGAGGAAUCUGGACUGUUACUUUGAAAAAAUUAGAGUGUUUAAAGCAAGCUAACGCUUGAAUACAUUAGCAUGGAAUAAUGGAAUAGGACGUUCGAUCCUAUUUUGUUGGUUUCUAGGAUUGACGUAAUGAUUAAUAGGGAUAGUUGGGGGCAUUAGUAUUCAAUUAUCAGAGGUGAAAUUCUUGGAUUUAUUGAAGACUAACUACUGCGAAAGCAUUUGCCAAGGAUGUUUUCAUUAAUCAAGAACGAAAGUUAGGGGAUCGAAGACGAUCAGAUACCGUCGUAG
rnacentral:rRNA from 1 species